rnacentral:rRNA from 1 species
CUCCUCGGGGGCAGGCAGUAAGGAAUAUUGGUCAAUGGACGCAAGUCUGAACCAGCCAUGCCGCGUGGAGGAUGAAGGCCCUCUGGGUUGUAAACUUCUUUUAUCUUGGGAAGAAACCCAUCUUUUCUAAGGUUGGUUGACGGUACAGCUGAAUAAGCACCGGCUAACUCCGUGCCAGCAGCCGCGGAAUUC